GAUGAACGCUAGCUACAGGCUUAACACAUGCAAGUCGAGGGGCAGCAUGGUCUUAGCUUGCUAAGGCCGAUGGCGACCGGCGCACGGGUGAGUAACACGUAUCCAACCUGCCGUCUACUCUUGGACAGCCUUCUGAAAGGAAGAUUAAUACAAGAUGGCAUCAUGAGUCCGCAUGUUCACAUGAUUAAAGGUAUUCCGGUAGACGAUGGGGAUGCGUUCCAUUAGAUAGUAGGCGGGGUAACGGCCCACCUAGUCUUCGAUGGAUAGGGGUUCUGAGAGGAAGGUCCCCCACAUUGGAACUGAGACACGGUCCAAACUCCUACGGGAGGCAGCAGUGAGGAAUAUUGGUCAAUGGGCGCAGGCCUGAACCAGCCAAGUAGCGUGAAGGAUGACUGCCCUAUGGGUUGUAAACUUCUUUUAUAAAGGAAUAAAGUCGGGUAUGUAUACCCGUUUGCAUGUACCUUAUGAAUAAGGAUCGGCUAACUCCGUG
rnacentral:rRNA from 1 species